rnacentral:rRNA from 1 species
UACGGAAGGUGCAAGCGUUGUUCGGAGUAACUGGGCGUAAAGGGCGCGAGUAGGCGGAUGGAUAAGUUGUUUGUGAAAACCCUAGGCUCAACCUGGGACGUGCAAGCAAAACUGUUUAUCUUGAAUGUUUGAGAGGUUAGUGGAAUUCCAGGUGUAGGAGUGAAAUCCGUAGAUAUCUGGAGGAACACCGGAGGCGAAGGCGGCUAACUGGCAAAACAUUGACGCUGAGGCGCGAAAGCGUGGGGAGCAAACAGG